AGUGAACGCUGGCGGCGUGCUUAACACAUGCAAGUCGAACGAGAACGGAUUAUAGCUUGCUAUAAUUGUCAGCUAAGUGGCGCACGGGUGAGUAAUGUAUAGGUAAUAUGCCUCUUACUAAGGGAUAACAAAUGGAAACGUUUGCUAAUAGCUUAUACUCCUUAUUAACAGAAGUUAAUAAGGGAAAGAUUUAUUGGUAAGAGAUUAGCCUGUAUUGUAUCAGUUAGUUGGUGGGGUAAUGGCCUACCAAGACUAUGACACAUAACUGGUUUGAGAGGAUGAUCAGUCACACUGGAACUGAGACACGGUCCAGACUCCUACGGGAGGCAGCAGUGGGGAAUAUUGCACAAUGGACGAAAGUCUGAUGCAGCAACGCCGCGUAGAGGAUGACACAUUUCGGUGCGUAAACUCCUUUUAUAUGAGAAGAUAAUGACGGUAUUAUAUGAAUAAGCACCGGCUAACUCCGUGCCAGCCGCCGCCGUAA
rnacentral:rRNA from 1 species